UACGGAGGGGGUUAGCGUUGUUCGGAAUGACUGGGCGUAAAGCGCGCGUAGGCGGAUCGGACAGUCAGAGGUGAAAGCCCGGGGCUCAACCCCGGAAUUGCCUUUGAUACUGCCGGUCUUGAGUUCGAGAGAGGUGAGUGGAAUUCCGAGUGUAGAGGUGAAAUUCGUAGAUAUUCGGAGGAACACCAGUGGCGAAGGCGGCUCACUGGCUCGACACUGACGCUGAGGUGCGAAAGCGUGGGGAGCAAACAGG
rnacentral:misc_RNA from 1 species